UCUAAGGGAUACUUAUACCUAUAUCCCAUCAGAGACAUUCUCGACAGCAGAAUACUCUGGAGUUGGUCACGUUCAAUGAUGAUGUACCCUUACAUCUCACCUGUAUGCCAUACCAGCGUCUCUACACUCUUUGGUUAAGAGGACAACCAACCCAUAUGGCCUACAGCGACCUAUGCUCGAUAGAAGCUGUCGUCCUUAUUAACAGCUUAUCAUUUGGUCGU
rnacentral:lncRNA from 1 species